UAUAUCUGACAGAUUUGGUCUUGCACUUGGGAAACUUAGGAAUUCUAACAUACAAAUGUUUACUUUUUAUUUAUGUUCUGUUUGAAUUUUUUAAAUAUAGUAGUCUAAAUAUUUUCAAUUAUUGUUGAUAAGUGGACUACAUGCUUUGGAAGCUAAAGUUUUCGAGGUAACAUUGUAGUUUGAAUUCAUUGAUUUAUAUAUAUGAAGUAGCUUGACCUUUAUUUCUUAUGCAUUCAACUCUUUUUUCAAUUCUUUUAUUUAGUUUGGUUAUGACAUUGAUGGGAGGAAACUUAAUGAUCUUUUUGGUGGCUUAAGAUGGUUGGUCAAAUGAAAAAUGUUAUUAACCGGCGAUGAUUAAUAGCUUGGAGGAAAUUAAUAAUCUGUUUUGGUGGUGAUUAAUUGCAGUUUGCAGUGGCAUAAGAUGAUAUUUUCCAGCUCAAUGUUGUUUGACAGUUUAGAGAGAUCCAGGAUGCACGAGGCGAGGAAUGCCAUGAAUUGGAUGUAUUUACCUAGAUGAUUCCUAUCGGGCUUAUGGAAUCAUUCAAAGAGAGCCAUUAAGUUGAAAAACGCAGUUGCUUGAAAUGCAAAAAGAAAUCGAAUAUUUCCAACAUAAGGGUUAAACUUAAAUUUAGGCAUUUUAACAUUAUAAAUUCUCAUUUACUUUGAAUAUUGCCAACAUAAGGGUUAAACUCAUCUGGAUUAACGCUAGGGUAAGCACACAAUCUCUUGUUUAAAUUAUGGUUGUAAUGAUAUUGUAAGUAGUGAAACCCUUUAGUUUAAACUUAAAUCACAAUGGUUUCACAUUUCUUUAUAUUUUUAAUUUUGUAGUGUCCAUGUCAGCCAGAAGGUACUGAACGUGGCUACUAUGUGAUGAAGUUCAUGAAGGAGAUAGCUUACGAUGGAGUUGAAGUACUUGACAAUAAUAAUGUUGGGAAAGGAGUAGAGGAAUACUCGGCUGCAGAUAUGGAUGGCAUUCGCGAAAACUGAUCGACUUAUGCGGUUACCUCUAUUUUUAAGUGACAAAUCGUAUUUUAGGUGUUAACGAUGUAUUGACAAACAAUUCUUUUUUUGUUAACGUUAAAAUAUUUGUAGUAUACUUGACAAAUAAUUAUGUAAUGGAU